UACAGAGGAUGCAAGCGUUAUCCGGAAUGAUUGGGCGUAAAGCGUCUGUAGGUGGCUUUUUAAGUCCGCCGUCAAAUCCCAGGGCUCAACUCUGGACAGGCGGUGGAAACUACCAAGCUGGAGUACGGUAGGGGCAGAGGGAAUUUCCGGUGGAGCGGUGAAAUGCGUAGAGAUCGGGAGGAACACCUGUGGCGAAGGCGGCCGUCUGGGCCGACCCUGACGCUGAGGCGCGAAGGCGUGGGGAGCGAACGGG
rnacentral:rRNA from 1 species